CCUACGUGGUGCAGCAGUGAGGAAUAUUGGUCAAUGGUCGGGAGACUGAACCAGCCAAGCCGCGUGAGGGAUGAAGGUACAGAGUAUCGUAAACCUCUUUUGUCAGGGCACAAAGGCGGGGACGUGUCCCCGGAUGAGUGUACCUGAAGAAAAAGCAUCGGCUAACUCCGUGCCAGCAGCCGCGGUAAUACGGAGGAUGCGAGCGUUAUCCGGAUUUAUUGGGUUAAAAGGGUGCGAAGGCGGUGUGUCAAGUCAGCGGCCAAAGCCCGGGGCCCAACCCCGGCCCGCCGUUGAAACUGGCAGUCUCGAGUUGGAGAGAAGUAUGCGGAAUGCGCGGUGUAGCGGUGAAAUGCAUAGAUAUCGCGCAGAACUCCGAUUGCGAAGGCAGCAUGCCGGCGCCACACUGACGCUGAUGCACGAAAGCGUGGGUAUCGAACAGGAUUAGAUACCCGGGUAGUC
rnacentral:rRNA from 1 species